rnacentral:misc_RNA from 1 species
GUCGCCGACAUCAUCGGCCGCGCCAACGGCGACAUCAAUUACGGCAACGGCCGCGUCGAGAAGGGCACCAAGCAGUUCAUGAAGUUCUGGCAGGACCACGCGUCCUAUCCGUUCAAGAGCCAUGACGCCUGGUUCGUCACCGAAGACAUCCGCUGGGGCAAGUUCGAGCCGACGACGGACGUCAAGGCGCUGGUCGACAAGGUCAACCGCGAAGACAUCUGGCGGUCCGCAGCUAAGGCGCUUGGCGUUGCUGCUGCCGACAUUCCGGCCAGCAC